ensembl:lncRNA
UUCAUAGGUCACCUUUGCCACCAGUUCUUUUGUGGGUGACUUGUUAAAGAGCCAGUUCCGUACAUUCAAACUAGUCUGGUGUAUCUGUCUUAAAACCACAGAUACUGCAGACUCACUGAGACUGAGGGGUUUUAAAUUCUCUGUGUAAUAAAUCAAACUCCCCUGGAGUUAAUUAAUUUUUGGCUGCCCUGGAUCUUCACUGCCGUACAUGGGCUUCUCUCCAGUUGUGGUGAGCAGAGGCUUCUCUCCAGGUGUGGGAAGCAGAGGCUUCUCUCCAGUCGUGACAUCCAUGAAGACCACCCGAGGAUAAACUCACAGAGAUGCCUCCAAGAAGCCAGACAAAUAAGUUACCAAUCCCAAAGUGAAGGCUGGAGGAGAAAGGGGCACAAAUCUGUGAAUAAAAAAAGUGUACAGUGAUCAUCAUGGGGGAUGAAGAGCAGGGGCAUGGAGGUGAUGUGGAUGGACAGCCACUGCUUGUUUCUGAGGGACAGCUGUGUGAGGC